GAAUUUUCCGCAAUGGGCGAAAGCCUGACGGAGCGACACCGCGUGGUGGAUGACGGCCUAUGGGUUGUAAACACCUUUUCUAGGGGAAGAAGAUCUGACGGUACCCUAGGAAUAAGCCCCGGCUAAUUACGUGCCAGCAGCCGCGGUAAUACGUAAGGGGCAAGCGUUACCCGGAAUUAUUGGGCGUAAAGCGUCCGCAGGUGGCGUAGAAAGUCAGUUAUUAAAUACUGGAGCUCAACUUCGGUGCUGUAAUUGAAACUUCUAUGCUAGAGGGUGGGAGAGGUGUGUGGAAUUGUGCAAGUAGGGGUAAAAUCUGUAGAUAUGCACAGGAACAUCAAAAGCGAAGGCAGCACACUGGACCAUUCCUGACACUCAGGGACGAAAGCGUGGGGAGCAAAAGGGAUUAGAUACCCCUGUAGUC
rnacentral:rRNA from 1 species